UACUUGUACUGAUUGAGAUUUUAACACGAAGUGAGUGGCGAACGGGUGAGUAACACGUGGGUAACCUGCCCAGAAGUAGGGGAUAACACCUGGAAACAGAUGCUAAUACCGUAUAACAGAGAAAACCGCAUGGUUUUCUUUUAAAAGAUGGCUCUGCUAUCACUUCUGGAUGGACCCGCGGCGUAUUAGCUAGUUGGUGAGGUAAAGGCUCACCAAGGCAGUGAUACGUAGCCGACCUGAGAGGGUAAUCGGCCACAUUGGGACUGAGACACGGCCCAGACUCCUACGGGAGGCAGCAGUAGGGAAUCUUCCACAAUGGACGCAAGUCUGAUGGAGCAACGCCGCGUGAGUGAAGAAGGGUUUCGGCUCGUAAAGCUCUGUUGUUAAAGAAGAACGUGGGUAAGAGUAACUGUUUACCCAGUGACGGUAUUUAACCAGAAAGCCACGGCUAACUACGUGCCAGCAGCCGCGGUAAUACGUAGGUGGCAAGCGUUAUCCGGAUUUAUUGGGCGUAAAGCGAGCGCAGGCGGUCUUUUAAGUCUAAUGUGAAAGCCUUCGGCUCAACCGAAGAAGUGCAUUGGAAACUGGGAGACUUGAGUGCAGAAGAGGACAGUGGAACUCCAUGUGUAGCGGUGAAAUGCGUAGAUAUA
rnacentral:rRNA from 1 species